CGCCUCCUCUCCCCCCUCCCAAUCGUCGCCACCGCCGCCGCCGCCGCCUCCCCCUCCCGCUUCCGCAUCCCCGCCGUCUCCGUCGCGCGGCGUCAGGCGCUCUUCGGCGGAAGAGUAGGGCUGAGGGUGCCCGCGAGACUGUCAACGAGGGGAGUGAGCGCCGGCGCGGAGGCGGGCGGGCCCGCAGCUCGAGCGGCCACGGUGAUCAGCCCCGAGGAGGCCGUGGAGUGGGUCAAGAAGGACCGGAGGCGCCUGCUCCACGUCGUCUACCGCGUCGGCGAUCUUGACAAGACUAUCAAGUUUUAUACGGAGUGCUUAGGGAUGAAGCUGCUGCGGAGAAGGGACAUCCCGGAGGAGAGGUACACCAACGCCUUUCUUGGGUACGGACCAGAGGACUCGCAUUUUGUUGUGGAGCUCACUUACAACUAUGGUGUCGAAAGUUACGAUAUUGGGUCUGGUUUUGGUCAUUUUGGAAUUGCUGUUGAGGAUGUCGAAAAAACAGUGGAACUUAUUAAAGCCAAGGGAGGAACAGUAACAAGGGAGCCAGGUCCGGUAAAAGGUGGAAAGUCAGUCAUUGCCUUCAUUGAAGAUCCUGAUGGUUACAAAUUUGAGCUUAUAGAAAGAGGUCCCACACCCGAGCCUUUGUGCCAAGUAAUGCUUCGAGUGGGAGAUCUUGAUCGUGCUAUAAGUUUCUAUGAGAAGGCAUUUGGUAUGGAACUUCUUCGCAGGAAAGACAAUCCUCAAUACAAGUAUACCAUUGCUAUGAUGGGAUAUGGCCCUGAAGACAAACAUGCUGUACUGGAGUUGACAUACAAUUAUGGUGUGAAGGAAUAUGAUAAAGGAAAUGCUUAUGCACAGAUUGCUAUUGGUACUGAUGAUGUCUACAAGACCGCGGAAGUCGUUAGACAAAAUGGGGGACAAAUAACUCGUGAACCUGGUCCAUUACCUGGCAUUAGUACCAAGAUAACUGCCUGCACAGAUCCAGAUGGCUGGAAAUCAGUAUUUGUUGACAAUCUAGAUUUUCUCAAGGAGUUGGAAGAAUGAGUUUUCAGGAAGAUAUCAUCUUCGUACAGGUUUCACUGGCCUUUUUCCUCGAGUUGCUAGCACCCCCCCAUGAAAUCUUGUAAAAGCUUCGAAGCGAGGUUUGUAGAUAGGUUGUCCAAUCUACCGUGUCAUCACUGGUUUUUCAUAGAGAAUUAGGUUUGCUACUUCUUAUGAUGUAGAUGUGCAAUCCGUUUUGUUAGCGAAGUAAAAUUAUAUGUGCAUUUUAUUCUUCUGACAAGCCAGAAAGUAUUUCCAGAUAUGCAUUUGUUCCUGCAUUCAGAAUUUCAGAUGAACUAAUCUUUGCACAUUAGC
rnacentral:rRNA from 1 species